GUGGACCUACGGGGGGCAGCAGUGGGGAAUAUUGCACAAUGGGGGAAACCCUGAUGCAGCAACGCCGCGUGAGUGAAGAAGUAUUUCGGUAUGUAAAGCUCUAUCAGCAGGGGAGAAGAUGACGGUACCUGAUUAAGAAGCCCCGGCUAACUACGUGCCAGCAGCCGCGGUAAUACGUAGGGGGCGAGCGUUGUCCGGCAUUACUGGGCGUAAAAAGUGCGUAGGCGGCACUACAAGUCUCAUGUGAAAUACCCGGGCUUAACUUGGGGGUUGCAUGGGAAACGGUAGAGCUUGAGUACAGGAGG
rnacentral:rRNA from 1 species